GAUGAACGCUGGCGGCGUGCCUAAUACAUGCAAGUCGAGCGAACGGACGAGAAGCUUGCUUCUCUGAUGUUAGCGGCGGACGGGUGAGUAACACGUGGAUAACCUACCUAUAAGACUGGGAUAACUUCGGGAAACCGGAGCUAAUACCGGAUAAUAUUUUGAACCGCAUGGUUCAAAAGUGAAAGACGGUCUUGCUGUCACUUAUAGAUGGAUCCGGGCUGCAUUGGCUAGUUGGUAAGGUAACGGCUUACCAAGGCAACGAUGCAUAGCCGACCUGAGAGGGUGAUCGGCCACACUGGAACUGAGACACGGUCCAGACUCCUACGGGAGGCAGCAGUAGGGAAUCUUCCGCAAUGGGCGAAAGCCUGACGGAGCAACGCCGCGUGAGUGAUGAAGGUCUUCGGAUCGUAAAACUCUGUUAUUAGGGAAGAACAUAUGUGUAAGUAACUGUGCACAUCUUGACGGUACCUAAUCAGAAAGCCACGGCUAACUACGUG
rnacentral:rRNA from 1 species